rnacentral:rRNA from 1 species
AUAACGGUCCUAAGGUAGCGAAAUUCCUUGUCGGGUAAGUUCCGACCCGCACGAAUGGUGUAACGAUCUGGGCACUGUCUCAACUACCCACCCGGCGAAAUUGUAGUACCGGUGAAGAUGCCGGUUACCUGCGGCAAGACGGAAAGACCCCAUGGAGCUUUACUGUAGCCUGAUAUUGGGUUUCGGAAAUCUAUGUACAGGAUAGGCGGGAGACUGGGAAACAUGAGCGUCAGCUUGUGUGGAGUCGAUGUUGGGAUACCGCCCUUAGGUUUCUGGAAUUCUAACCUGCGGCCGUGAAUCCGGUCGGGGGACAUUGUCAGGUGGGCAGUUUGACUGGGGCGGUCGCCUCCGAAAAGGUAACGGAGGCGCUCAAAGGUUAGCUCAGCACGGACGGAAACCGUGCCUCUGAGUGUAAACGCAAAAGCUAGCCUAACUGCGAGGGUGACGGCCCGAGCAGUAACGAAAGUUGGAGUUAGUGAUCCGGCGGUAUGUGAAUGGAAAUGCCGUCGCUCAACGGAUAAAAGCUACCCUGGGGAUAACAGGCUGAUCUCCCCCAAGAGUCCACAUCGACGGGGAGGUUUGGCACCUCGAUGUCGGCUCAUCGCAUCCUGGGGCUGUAUUCGGUCCCAAGGGUUUGGCUGUUCGCCAAUUAAAGCGGUACGCGAGCUGGGUUCAGAACGUCGUGAGACAGUUCGGUCCCUAUCUGUCGUGGGCGUAGGAUAUUUGCAAGGAGCUGUCCCUAGUACGAGAGGACCGGGAUGGACGCACCUCUGGUGCACCAGUUGUCACGCCAGUGGCACAGCUGGGCAGCUAUGUGCGGAACGGAUAAACGCUGAAGGCAUCUAAGCGUGAAGCCGCCCUUAAGAUAAGAUAUCCCUUCUGUUUACAGAGUAAGACCCCUUGAAGACUACAAGGUUGAUAGGCUCAAAGUGUAAGCACGGUGACGUGUUUAGCUAGCGAGUACUAAUCGGUCGAGUGCUUAACCU